AUUUUAAACAAAAGGAUGAACUGGACUUAUUUUCUAACAGAAAAUUUAUCAAGAUUUCUUUUUCUAAAAAUAUUACUCACUUCUAUAAUGUAUAUAAUGCAUAUCUUAUCAGUACCUGGAAGUAAACUAUAGAGACAGGAUGCGUAAGCAAAUAAGACAAAGAGAUGUCAUGACAAAGUCGCAGUCAUAAGAUAAGAUUUCAAUUUACGAUAAUUUUAUGUAAUUUGAUAUAAAUGCAAUUAUUUGUGGAAUUUUUUCGCGCUAUUUUUGUUUGCAUUUAGAAAAUAUAUGAUAAAUUACAACAUAAUCUACUUAAUAUGUAUUGAAUUUAUAGUGCAGUUAAAAAAAUAUAUAAAAAUUGAAAAGAGAGAGAGAGAGAGAUCGAUAUCACGCCGAAAUGGAAAACAACGAGGAAAAUACAUGGUCGCCAUAUGAUACCGUGUAGAAAGUAAAAAAUAUCCGAGGAUAAUUCCCUACAUGAAGUGUUAUGACAAUCCUACAGACAGAGAUAUAUUAUUGACCAAAAAAGGGAAAAAUUGUCAAUUGUACGAGAAGAAGGAAAUACAUGGGAAUAAUAAUUCCUCGUAUAUUUUUGUAAAUCAUCAUUUUAUGAAGGGAAAACAAGGUAAUAAAAGUAAAAUACUGCAAAUUUAAUGGCGGAGAGAAACUGAUCUGCCUGUGAGAGGCUACGUAUUUUGUGAUUUUAAGAGUUUGCAAUUUUUCAGAACAAAAAUUAUUGAGUUGAUGAAAGAAGGGAACGAAACAGUCGACACAAGCAUGUUUGAAUGCAUUCACUGACGCGGACAAAUGACCGUGAUAAUUAUUAACAGAACAAAGGAGGGCGCGAAGAAGACACGUGACAUCUCAGCGGAGUGAUAAAAGCAUCCAGUUCUCCAGCGGGUUAAAGUGGAAUAUCGUUUUUCUCGUUCGAUCCAAUUAAUCGACCCUUAGCGGCCGCGGGUUUGGAUCCACUGUCGGCCGUCGGAGUCGGCCAGUGCUGACUCACUCGGAAAAUAUGUACCAUUCGCACGCGCUACUUCCCUCCCGAUUACGAGCAUUAUGCUGUUGAAGAUCAAUAUUGAUCGAAUACAGAUCGCGCGAAAUGUUCAACGGAUUCAACACAUUGUUCAGAUGAAGAGUAACAGGACACCCGCGAAUUUCGGGACACUCUGUAGUCAGUAGAUCGUUUCAGCGGGACACGCAACGAGAGUCGCGAUCGCACCGAGCCGUUCAAUAUGCGCGUUUAGCCGUGGCUUUCACACGUCGUGCCACGCAAUAACGCAUCGAUGCGAGAUUAUUUUGUCUAUUAGACGUCCGAUCACGAAACGCACAUACUAUCGUCAUGCAAUGCAACAUGAAAAGUCCAUUAAAUAUCGCGCGAUCUCCAUGUCUUUCUCUUAUAAAGUCAAACGAUAAAAACUCUGGAAUGCAGUCGAUGACAAAUCGAUUGGCGAACAGAUUAAUCGCUCGAGACUACUAUGCCGAGAUACGCCAAACCAUCUAUCUAUCUCCUCGGUGACCUUCUAUCGUCGUCACAACAAGAACGAACGCAUGCUACAUCUUGGACUGCGGUAGUUCUGCGUCGAUCGAACGUACUGGUUUCCGAGGGAAAAAAACGUGCGCUAAAUUAUUAAUACUGUGGCGCGACGCAUUGUAGUUCCUGCCGCGCACUUACGUUCGCCUUCUUCAAGUAAUCGUGACAACUGUAUCGGCAUACGAAAUUUUAUAUAUAAAUUGUUGUUUCAACUCGUAUUUCAAAUAUAUCUCACAACAGUAAUGAUGGCAUCAGUGGUGUUAAGUUGUUUAAAAACAAAAUCGAUAUUAUUAAGUAAUAUUUCUCGUCUGAGAAUAUCGAAUUUAGAAAAAGCCAAUUAAGAGAAUGAAAUCAAAGGACAUUUCAUGGAUUUGACUACGAAAACACACGGUGAUGAAUAAUGAUUUACUCUCGUAGCGUGUUUCAUGCAACUUAAUUUAUUGAUAUCGUUGGAUGCGUAGUCGCUGAUUUAUUCAUUAUUUCGCUUUUAUCGUGCACGAUCAAUGAUGCAAUUUAACGGAAUGAAUUCGUAUCGUAUAUACGGUGUUCUCGACCUAGCGAGCCAUUUAAAUCGUAAUUCUUCAAUAAAAACGAUAUCGACCUUCCCUUAAGAAAAAUUCUACUCAAGCCUAUCGAUUAUCACAUUUUCAAUUGAAAAAUACCAGGAUUUCACAGUGAUUGAUCUCUAAUUAA
rnacentral:lncRNA from 1 species